AUUUUAUUGUCAUUAACCAUUAAUAUUGUAUGCGAGUAGUUUUACUAAAAAGCUUUCAAAUUUAUUCUUUCUAUUUUAAAAUGAAUCAAUUGAACAAAGUAAGUAAUUGUUGUUUUGAUCUAUGAAUAGAGACAUCGAUAUGUGGGUUUGCUUUCAAUAAUUCGAACUAGAUUUUACGUGACCCAAUAUUAUUGGUCUAAAAAGCUAGUAUGUUGAUAAGGUAUAUCUAAUUAAAUUUUAUACAGAUAUCCAAUAUUCCAAUUGAGCCAAUAUCAAUAAUUAAAUAAUAAAUAUAAAGAUAUUCAUAUGUCCAUGAUUCAUACCAAUAGUCAAUAUUAGGCACCUAAUUUUCAAGAAUCUAAAAUGUAAGAUCUACAUAUAUCAAGAGACAAUAAACAAUUCAAUUUGAAUAUGAAUAUAGUAUAGAUAUAUGUAGGUAUUGUAUUCCAAUAGAAUAACUAUUAUGGUUUAUUUCAGCAUAUACAUUAGUAAAACAGAUCUUGACAAAUCGUAUUAAAUAAUGAUUUAAAAUCAAUAUAAAAUUUAAUACAGAACAAAAAUUAUAUUAAAAGAAAAAUUAUGAGUAAAAGAAAAAUACCACAAGAAAAGUCUUGUGAAAUAACUAAAAAUAUUAAACUAAAUACAACGAGCAGUUAUAAUGUGAUGCAUGAACACAAUUACUUUCAUAUUAAUAAUAAAAAAGGCCGAUGGUCAAUCAAAAAUACUGAAAAAAUAGCAAAUGAUUAUGAUGAAUGUGAUUCUAUACCAGAUUGGUGUAUAGCCAACAGUUCAAGUGAUGAAGAGGAUGAUAGUAAUGAUACCACAAAUAUGCCUCUUUCUCGUAUAUUGAAAAUAGAAUUUGUAAAAGACCUACUACAUCUGUACAAAAAUAAGAAAUGUGCAAAUGAUUUGUUACCAUUUCAUGUAGAACAAAUGUAUUGGGAAUUAAAAAAUACAAAUAAUCAUGAUUUGUCAAAUAUUGCUAAUGAUUCAAAUAAUAUAAUAAGUGAAAAUCUUAUAUUAAAUGAUGGAAAUCAAUAUAAAAUAAUGCAAAUAGUUCCAUCAGAUAAUGAUGCAACCAUUAUUCAAAAUCAAAAUAUUACAAAUGACACUGAAUUUCAAACAAAAUUGAGUAAUCAACCAUGUAUGAAACUUAUUGUUAAGGACAAUUGUACGCAUGAUGAAUUAUUAUUAAAUGCUUCAAUGAAUACAAUAGGAAGAAAAGAUGAUAAAAAUUUGCAAAAUUAUUUAUUGAGCUCAUCUUUACAUCUAAGCAAUUCAUUGUUUGCGAAAACAACACAUUCUUCAUAUGAUAAUGUUGAUUUUGCAAAAACAGAUACACCUACAAACAAUGUGUGCCCACCACUACAUUGGAUUCAUUUAAUAUAUUUAGCGAUAAAAAAUUCUGCUACCGAGAAUGUAACUUGUUAUGAUAUACAACGUAUAGUCAGAUGUUGGUUCCCCUAUUAUUGUAAAAAAUCAUAUGUUAAAUUUAUUCGUAUAAUAUUAAGUCAUAUUAAUCAUAACUGUCAAAAAUAUUUUCACUGUAAUUCAUUUACAAUUAUGAUUCACCAAGAUGAUACAUGGACAAUUAAUAAUAUCCAUAUAAAUACUUUGGAAGAUAGUUUGAUGAAAAUUGUUGAAAAUAAUGAGGAUGAAAUAAAAUCAGCAAUGGCCCAUCCUGAUCAAUUAUCAACAAUAGUAAAAGGAUAUGGUAUACUUCAUUUGGGAUGUAGCCAAAAUUCUAUCAAAAACUAACAGUUUUUGACAUGAAAACUAUUUAAAUUAUAACUGAAUUAACAAGAAAUUCAUAUGACUAUAAUCCAGAGACUACUACUAAAUGUUGCAUAAAAUGAAAUUAUCAACUACAUGGUAUUUAUACUUUACUACAGUUCAGUCUUUAAAGGUCAAACAUCAAACGAUUGCAAGAAAAGUUUAACACUCUUAUUACAUUCAAAGCAAACAAAAAAUGUAUCAUGGGUUCCAUUUAACAGUUAUUCACCUCUCCGCCAGCAGCAGGACUUUUUUCCCACAGACUGCAGUGUUCAACUAUGUUGCCUCAGCACAAUUUGAUCUUUGCCUUACUAUUUUAAUGACUUACACGCUAAAAUAUAUAAUAUUAUAAUAUCAAUAAUAUCAUCUAUAGAAUACAGUCCAUACAAUAGAGUUUAAAGAUCAUUAACAUAAUAU